UACAUACAUACAUACAUACAUACAUGGAGUGGAGAACAGAGUAUGUGGACACUUGCAUGCAUGCCUGCCUUAGGGAAAGGGCAGGCAUUACAUGGAAGCCAGACUCCAGGGGAAGAGAAUAAAUAGCACAGGAAUCCCAGAGACAGCUAGCUUGGUAAGUUUGCCAUUUUUCCACUUACACCCCCAGGAAGUGGUAGUCAUCGAAGUGAGCUAUGCGGUAAACAUCAUCUCCUCCAACAACAGAGAAGAAAGCCCUGCCCCCGAACUCCAUUCUUUCUGACCCACUAGCCACUAAACUCAAAGUUCUUUGAGUAAUUAGAAAUUAAAAUUAAAUCAUAUUUAGAUUGCUUUUUGUUAUCCAGAAAUCGUUUGCAUUGUGCAGAAUGCAUGCAGAGUGUGCUCAUUUUAGAAACAAUGGCAUUUUUCUCUUGAGUCAUGAGUCCGAGAACAUUUUUUUUUAACUCACUAAGCCACUGCACACAUCUCUGACUCUUGCUACAGGGUGAGCAUUUGGUCACCACCCCACAGCUAUGAACUCCUGAAAUAGGCCCAGAUGGCUAAUUUUAAAUUUAAAAUUACACUUCGCUGUCUGCUUAGCUGGCCUUGGGUGUUUCUGCCUAAAGUUGCAUUAUCUGGGACUAUUAUUAUCAAAGAAAGAUAAUAAAAAAGAGAAGAGUGGUGAACUGAAGGGAAGAGGAGGGGGACAGGGUGGGAAGAAAGAGGAGGGGAGAGGUACAGCUCAUCACCGCUCUCUUGGUAAGCACUGAGCUACUAGACCCAGGAUUCUGUUUGUUAGCCACUGGACUCUGCACCGCCCAGCACGCCCUGACCCAAUAUGGCUGUUUGCCCUGGGAAGGUCGCCUGCAAUGGAGGAGUGAAGAAAAAAGACCGAGACAGAGCAAAGGGACAAAGCAGAGAGGAAGAAAAGGAGCUUAGGCACCGGGGAGCUGACUCAUGGCUUUGGAAACCAAGAGAGUCACACUCCUUCCCAAGAGUCCAAGGUCACAGGCCAAGGGCUCUGGCAGUUUUGGCCAUAAACCUGCUCCUGACCCGACCACGGUCAAGUUCAAGGGCAUCAGGAAGGCAGCAUGGAGACUGAACACAAUCCACAGGUUUCUGAGCGCCCCAUCUGUGCGCCUCUCCGUCAAAUACUGCAGCAGCUUGCAACUUAAUUGGUUUUCCCCACUUCUUUGUUUAUGCGAGAAAAUAAAAAUGAUUUGAUCCCCAAAUCGAGGGGAAAUGGAUCAGAAAUAAAGGCAGAAUGAGUCUG